rnacentral:sRNA from 1 species
ACAGACGCUGGGAGCGGCCGAGGCGAGUGAUUUCUUCUGACUUGAGCCUGCAGUGUGCUGUGAGAGAUCUACCACUAGAUUACCUCAACUUUGGUCUCCUGGGACCACUCAUUGCUGACAGUCAGAAAGUAAGUGUAUAUUUAAAAUGUUCUUCUUAGCUAUAAAUGGAAAUCUCAGUUUUGUUCAGUAGUUUUCACAAGAGACAGUUCUGUUCAAAUGUUUUAUCAAGAAUAGUAGCAUAAUGAAUGGGAGUUUUGUAUAUAUAAAAGAUACUAAAGCCGCUUUAAAAAAUUUAUGGAAAUGAUAAAUAAAUAGAAAUGAAGUAAAUAAGGUACUGCCUGCUUAUCACCUUUGAAUAUUACUUACAGCAUAAUAAAGUAUAUUUGCAACCACUCAGUGGAGUAGUUUUUAUAUGACAUCUUCAU